CUUAUUUCUCAGGUACUUCUGGAGGCCUUGAAGGAUUGUUUGGACUGUCAUGAGGCUGCUACAACUGAGUGCACAUAGCAACUUGAGUAGACCUCAUUUAUCCUAUUCAAAAAUGUAAGUACUUUAAUUGCAACACCUCCUUCUUCCUCAAAUCGUUUUAAAAUGAUGGAAUUUCAAUUUG
rnacentral:lncRNA from 12 species